GCAGGAAAAAAAAAUCAUGACAUAUCUCAUACAAUGUAUUGAAUAGGCUAAUAAUUGUCCACAGAAAUGGAGAAGACGGAACGUAAGCCCUAACUUGGUUACCAUAAAAUGUCAUUCGCUCUGCACCUCUCUUUCCCAAUUUUCAAAUCUGAUAGCCUCCCCCCCAAACUUACCAGGGUUCCAUUUCUAUGCAACUCGUCUUCCAAUUCCAACCAAUCUUAUCCUUCCAAACAAGAAUCCCAAGAUGAUUCUCAAAGCCAGCAUCAUCAAGUUCUUUUGGUGGAAAGAUACAUGAACGGAACUGCAAAGAGGUAUAUACUGGAUGAUGAAUUUCAACUAACAACCUUUCUUGAGGAUGAAUCCAAAUCUAAUGGAUUUUCUUCAAAGGAACUGCCAUGGCUUCCUGAUUUAGUCAAAGAUUUUGUUCUGCCUGCUGGUUACCCAGGGUCUGUUUCAGAUGAUUACCUGGAAUAUAUGCUGUUUCAGUUUCCAACCAAUGUCACUGGAUGGAUCUGUCACACUUUGGUCACUUCAAGCCUUCUAAAGGCUGUUGGUUUAGACUAUUCUUCUGCAACUACCGCCGCCGCUUCUGCUGCUGCCAUCAGAUGGGUGUCGAAAGAUGGAAUUGGUGCCGUUGGGCGUUUUUUCAUUGGUGGGCGAUUUGGAAAUCUUUUUGAUGAUGAUCCAAAACAAUGGCGAAUGUAUGCCGACUUCAUAGGAAGUGCUGGAAGCAUCUUCGAUCUCUGUACACCUCUCUACCCUGCAUAUUUCCUUCCACUAGCAUCUCUAGGGAAUCUUACUAAGGCUGUAGCAAGAGGGCUAAAGGAUCCAUCAUUUCGGGUGAUUCAAAGUCAUUUUGCUGUUUCUGGAAAUCUUGGAGAUGUGGCAGCAAAGGAGGAAGUUUGGGACGUAUCUGCACAGCUCAUUGGCCUUGGUCUGGGCAUAUUGGUCCUGUCAACACCUGGUCUUGUUAAUUCAUAUCCAGUUUUAGCAUCGACAUGGAUGACCAUGCGGCUUCUGCACCUUUGGCUACGUUAUCAAUCUCUUUCAGUUCUUCAGUUCAAUACGGUAAAUCUAAAGCGGGCCCGGAUUUUGGUGAACAUGCAUGUCUCAAGCUCAACAGUUUUGGGAUGUGAGGAAUGCAAUAAAAUGGAAAAUAUAUUAUCAUGGGAGAUAUUUUCGGUACCUCGAAUAGUUUUUGGUGUGUCUCUGUCUGACAUGCUUGAUGGUGACACAUCAGGCCUCAAGGUGAAGAAGCUUCUAGAACUUUAUUCUAAGGAGAAAUAUAUCCUUGUCCUCAACCAGCAGCCUUUCAAAGAUUUUGAAGUCCUUGUCUCCUUUAAGAUCUCAAACCAGAAGACUUGCCUCGGUUUUGGCGGUUCAGUCAGUUUCAUCGGUUUUUGAACAACCCUAGGGGGUUACCACAUGUAUUUCAUUAGGAGCGAGUUCAAGUGAGAACCAUUGAAUUGGCCUUUGAUUAUGGAGUGGACAAAAGGGCGAAAGGUGAGCAUCAUCAAUUGGAAUAUGACCCACGACUAAAAAGAUGGAGCUACAAGCCUCUCGAUGCUGCGAAGUGUUUGGCAGACGUAUUGGCUCUAUAAGAAUCAAAGCAGACAAGAAAACAUGUUUGAUCAACUUCAAGAAAGCCUGAAAGAACUUGAUCAUCAAUUUGACAUGUUUUUGCAGCAGCUAAGAGACGUCGGAUGGGACAUCGAUAGCAUAAAUUUGAAAGUUCGUAAAGACGUUUUUAUCCAAGAUUUUUCCAUGUAUUGAUGUUAUAUUAUAGUUGCAUUUUUAUACAUUGAUCAUUAACAUGAUGUUUUAAUAAUAUUUUUGUCAUAUGAGAUUUUUUUGUUUU